GGGGCCUUAGCUCAGCUGGCAGAGCGCCUGCUUUGCAAGCAGGAAGUCAGGGGUUCGACUCCCCUAGGCUCCACCA
rnacentral:tRNA from 1 species